rnacentral:rRNA from 1 species
UACGGGGGGGGCAAGCGUUGUUCGGAAUUACUGGGCGUAAAGGGCUCGUAGGCGGCCAACUAAGUCAGACGUGAAAUCCCUCGGCUUAACCGGGGAACUGCAUCUGAUACUGGAUGGCUUGAGUUCGGGAGAGGGAUGCGGAAUUCCAGGUGUAGCGAUGAAAUGCGUAGAUAUCUGGAGGAACACCGGUGGCGAAGGCGGCAUCCUGGACCGACACUGACGCUGAGGAGCGAAAGCGUGGGGAGCGAACAGG